rnacentral:rRNA from 1 species
UACGGGGGGGGCAAGCGUUGUUCGGAAUUACUGGGCGUAAAGGGCUCGUAGGUGGCCAACUAAGUCAGACGUGAAAUCCCUCGGCUUAACCGGGGAACUGCGUCUGAUACUGGAUGGCUUGAGUUUGGGAGAGGGACGCGGAAUUCCAGGUGUAGCGGUGAAAUGCGUAGAUAUUGGGAGGAACACCAGUGGCGAAGGCGGCUCACUGGACCGGUUCUGACGCUGAGGCGCGAAAGCGUGGGGAGCAAACGGG